GUUAGAUUAACGUGUUAGUAAUCCAAUUGUAGGCGGUUCGUGUGUGGAUCUCGUCAGCAUAUCGUCGCAAAUAGGUAAUCCCCAACCAUAGUGGGCUUGGAGCUGUGAGGGAAUUCGGAGUGGCCACCCGUUCUGAAAGUUUGAUUUUCUUCUGGUGAACUGGACAUCCUUUUAAUUACGUUUGAGGUUUUGGGCUUUUAAAUGUAAUAAGGCCGCUUAUUUAUUUUUGAUGGUUUUUAUAUGUUUUAUUAAGAUAGGUAAUAUUUAUAUUUAA